GCAAGGCCUCUGUGCACCAAAACGUAGCCAUCAGUAUCACAACGUAAAGGCAUUUUCCCUCCUGAAAGAGGAGCAACACACACCUUAAGAUAAUUCAGAUUUUGAAGCCACUGGACGUCACAGCUGAGCAGCAGCAACUCAGACCUGAUGAUGAAACUUGAUUUAAACUACUUAGUGUUGUUUUCCAGGCUCAUUGCUCCAUUUUCUCACACAAUCAUGUAAUUUUGUUAACUUCAGUUGUUAAGAAAAUGUUUUUAUAUAUAUGAAAUAUGACUUAAAAGAAAUUUUACUGUGUAGUUUAAUUCUUUGA